UAGUAACGGCGAGUGAAGCGGCAACAGCUCAAAUUUGAAAUCUGGCGUCUUUGGCGUCCGAGUUGUAAUUUGCAGAGGGCGCUUUGGCAUUGGCAGCGGUCCAAGUUCCUUGGAACAGGACGUCACAGAGGGUGAGAAUCCCGUACGUGGUCGCUAGCCUUUACCGUGUAAAGCCCCUUCGACGAGUCGAGUUGUUUGGGAAUGCAGCUCUAAAUGGGAGGUAAAUUUCUUCUAAAGCUAAAUACUGGCCAGAGACCGAUAGCGCACAAGUAGAGUGAUCGAAAGAUGAAAAGCACUUUGGAAAGAGAGUUAAAAAGCACGUGAAAUUGUUGAAAGGGAAGCGCUUGCAGCCAGACUUGCCUGUAGUUGCUCAUCCGGGUUUUUACCCGGUGCACUCUUCUAUAGGCAGGCCAGCAUCAGUUUGGGCGGUUGGAUAAAGGUCUCUGUCAUGUAACUCUCUUCGGAGAGAACUUAUAGGGGAGACGACAUGCAACCAGCCUGGACUGAGGUCCGCGCAUCUGCUAGGAUGCUGGCGUAAUGGCUGUAAGCGGCCCGUCUUGAAACACGGACCAAGGAGUCUAACAUCUAUGCGAGUGUUUGGGUGUCAAGCCCGAGCGCGUAAUGAAAGUGAACGGAGGUGGGAACCUUUCGGGGUGCACCAUCGACCGAUCCUGAUGUCUUCGGAUGGAUUUGAGUAAGAGCAUAGCUGUUGGGACCCGAAAGAUGGUGAACUAUGCUUGAAUAGGGUGAAGCCAGAGGAAACUCUGGUGGAGGCUCGCAGCGGUUCUGACGUGCAAAUCGAUCGUC
rnacentral:rRNA from 1 species